rnacentral:rRNA from 1 species
AGUGGGGAAUAUUGCACAAUGGAGGGAACUCUGAUGCAGCAACGCCGCGUGGAGGAUGACACAUUUCGGUGCGUAAACUCCUUUUAUAUAAGAAGAUAAUGACGGUAUUAUAUGAAUAAGCACCGGCUAACUCCGUGCCAGCAGCCGCGGUAAUACGGGGGGUGCAAGCGUUACUCGGAAUCACUGGGCGUAAAGAGAAUGUAGGCUGGCUAUUAAGUUGGAAGUGAAAUCCUAUGGCUUAACCAUAGAACUGCUUCCAAAACUGAUUGCCUAGAAUAUGGGAGAGGUAGAUGGAAUUUCUGGUGUAGGGGUAAAAUCCGUAGAGAUCAGAAGGAAUACCGAUUGCGAAGGCGAUCUACUGGAACAUUAUUGACGCUGAGAUUCGAAAGCGUGGGGAGCAAACAGGAUUAGAUACCCUGGUAGUCCACGCCCUAAACGAUGUACACUAGUUGUUGCUAUGCUAGACAUAGCAGUAAUGCAGUUAACACAGUAAGUGUACCGCCUGGGGAGUACGGUCGCAAGAUUAAAACUCAAAGGAAUAGACGGGGACCCGCACAAGCGGUGGAGCAUGUGGUUUAAUUCGACGAUACGCGAAGAACCUUACCUGGCCUUGACAUAAUAAGAAUCUUUUAGAGAUAGAGGAGUGCUAGUUUACUAGAGCUUAUAUACAGGUGCUGCACGGCUGUCGUCAGCUCGUGUCGUGAGAUGUUGGGUUAAGUCCCGCAACGAGCGCAACCCUCGUGUUUAGUUAAUAACGGUUCGGCCGAUGACUCUAAACAGACUGCCUGGGUAACCAGGAGGAAGGUGAGGACGACGUCAAGUCAUCAUGGCCCUUACGGCCAGGGCUACACACGUGCUACAAUGGGGUAUACAAAGAGCCGCGAUACCGUGAGGUGGAGCAAAUCUCAUAAAAUACCUCCCAGUUCGGAUUGAAGUCUGCAACUCGACUUCAUGAAGUUGGAAUCGCUAGUAAUCGUGAAUCAGCAAUGUCACGGUGAAUACGU